rnacentral:sRNA from 1 species
UUUCUUUUUUUUUUUUUUUUUUUUUUUGAGACAGAGUCUUGCUCUGUCGCCCAGGCUGGAGUGCAGUGGCGCAAUCUUGGCUCACUGCAAGCUCCGCCUCCCGGGUUCAUGCCAUUCUCCUGCCUCAGCCUCCUGAGUAUUUAGUUCUCAAGCCAGAGACUAGCUGCCCUUGGAACUCGAUCCCACCAUGGAAGGGCUCAAGGAAAGCUAUAGAUUUUCUUGUCUAACCUCACCGUGUUACCUAUGAGGAAACUGAGGCCCAGAGAGUGAAAUCACUUACCCAAAGCCACACAGCUAGAGGCAGAGAGUGGGAUCUGGAACCUUGGUCUGUGCCUUCUAGCCCAGAGCUUCUAUUGUCGGGGACAGAAGAACAAGCUUGGCUCUCCUUUCAUGACCCUGACCCUGCCGUUUCAGCCAGAUCUCACUUCCCUGCAGUUAAGUUAUUCCCAUUCUUGGCCACCAAGAAUGAGUCAACACAAUAAGAUGACAUUUUUUUCUUCUUCAAGCCCCUGGUCUGGUCCUAGUUGCAGUGAAACCUCAUAAGGCUGUAGAGCUUUUUACUUGUAAUAUCCCUCCUAGAAGCACCAACUGUUUUAGUGGCACAUGGGAGGAUUCCUUGGUGUGUGGCAUAUGUCUACAGAAGACCAGCACAGUCUCCACAGGACAAAAAGCCAGGGCUGUGCCCACAGGGGGCCCUAUGCCCAGAGAACAAGUCAUCCUUGGGCAUUCGGAGCUGAGGGUGUGGGGGACAAGGUGGCCACUGCCUGGGCCACUUUUAACUACCACUGCAGGCAUUUUGGAUCUGACCUGCCUUCCUGACCAAGUCUUCCUACCCUCAUUUUCUCUUUGGCCCGAUUUCAUAUUUGUUAUCUUAUUUCCUCUUUCAUAGGCUCCAUUAAAUCAUUUCUAGAUUAAGACAUUUGAUGGAAAAAUAAACAAAAAAAGCCAAUGUAUAUGAGAAUCCUGGGUAGGAGCUAGAACCCAAAAACAGUAUCAGCCCUAUGGAUGUCAUAGGGGCCAAGAAAAAAGGCAACAAGGAGCUUUUGGCGCAUGAGGGGUCUUUGGUGGAGGUUCCCAGAGGGACCAGCCCUCAGAUCCAGGAAAGUAGGCCUGGUCCUGCUUUCUGGGGGUGGCCACCCUCUUUCCACCAGGACACCCCUGCACAGAGACCUCGGCUUCACUCAGGCACAUUCAUUUGUCUCUGACACCCCCAGGAUGAAGUGGCCGUGGAGACGACCACUCCCCAGCAGAACAAGAUGGACAAGCUGAUCGAGAUCCUGAACAGCAUGCGGAACAACAGCAGCGAUGUGGACGCCAAGCUCACCACCUUCAUGGAGGAGGCCCAGAACUCCACCAACUCCGAGGAGAUGCUGGGUGAGAUCGUGCGCACCAUCUACCAGAAGGCUGUGUCCGACCGCAGCUUCGCCUUCACCGCUGCCAAGCUCUGCGACAAGAUGGCGCUCUUUAUGGUGGAGGGGACCAAGUUCCGGAGCCUUCUCCUCAACAUGCUGCAGAAGGACUUCAUGGUGCGCGAGGAGCUGCAGCAGCAGGACGUGGAGCGCUGGCUGGGCUUCAUCACCUUCCUGUGCGAGGUCUUCGGAACCAUGCGCAGCAGCACGGGCGAGCCCUUCCGCGUGCUCGUGUGCCCCAUCUACACCUGCCUCAGGGAGCUCUUGCAAUCUCAGGAUGUGAAGGAAGAUGCUGUCCUUUGCUGCUCUAUGGAGCUGCAGAGUACAGGCCGGCUGCUGGAGGAACAGCUGCCUGAGAUGAUGACAGAGCUCCUGGCCAGUGCGCGGGACAAGAUGCUAUGCCCCUCGGAGUCCAUGCUGACCCGGUCGCUGCUCUUAGAGGUCAUCGAGCUCCACGCUAACAGCUGGAACCCUCUGACGCCCCCCAUCACGCAGUACUACAACAGAACCAUCCAGAAACUGACAGCCUGACAGCCAGGGGGCCUGGCGGGCGGCCCGCGGGCAGCUGGGGCCCUGGUGCACAGGGCCAGAUGGACAGGCGGGAGGACAGGGGUGGCCCUGGCGGGAGAAAGAAAUGGGGAGGCAGGCAGGCAGCGUCGGUGGCCAGUCUGGAGCCAGACGGGGAAGGGAGCAAAUCCCUGAGAGGAGUGCCCCCGCACAAGCCCCCAGCCCGAGCAUGCAAGCUCACACCAAUAAGGGAAGCAUGUUUCUUUUUCCUGGUGGCCCUGGCCCUCCCCUUCCUCACUCCCGCCUCUCCCCUCCCCAUCAGACCCAUCCCCCACGGAGCUUUGUGUGAGGGAUCUCAUCGCUGUGACUCCUCGGAGACCUUGGCAGCCUCGCACGCCGGGGCACCGCUUGGGUCAGAAAGAACCUCGGAAAGCUGAAAAAGUGGGUCGGAGACGGGCUCGCAUUGUUCCCGCAUGCUGUCAGCCGCAGUCGCCAACUGGCAGCAGGCGACGUGUAGCAGAUGUCCGGGAGGACAAAGGCAGGCACGGUCCCCACCAGCCGCCCGUAAUUGACGGCCUUUGUCAGCCAUGGCAGAGCUGACGCUCCACCUCCCACCUCCAAGUCCUCCUCACUGCAGCCCCCCAGCCUCAGGCCUAGGGGGUCAGGCGUGGGGGGCAGAUGGAGUUUGAGUUCCACUUGCACUCUUUUGUUUAUUGUGUUUUAUUUUUCAAAAGUCGGUUGCUUUGAAGUCUCUUUGGUCAAUGAGAAUGCCCGUGAUGUGAUCACACAGUCAGCACUGUUGAGGACCCCUGGAUUAGUGGGAGAUCAAACCCAGCCCCGCUCUAGAAAGAUUCUAGCCACAGACAGCUUGCCAGUAGCCAAUUAGGGUAAUUGGAAACUUCUGCCCUGGCGGGGGUCCCCGCUGGAAUCCUGUGUUCCUUGCCCCUGGCUUCCAGAGCCUCUGUUUUCUCAAAGGGCUGAUACUGUCACCACUGGGACCAAGUUAAACCUGGUCCUGGCCC